CUGUCAGAAGGGGGCGAAGCUUUUGAACUUGAAGGUGUCAGAAGUGUCGGGGGCCCUUCACAGAUCAGGAUUAUGCCAAUGGGAAUGAGACCCAGGGCCAGGAAGCAAACAAAGACGCAACAUCUUUGCCUGCCUGUCAUUUCAGGGGGAAAGGGCCAAGACAUGUUUACUUAGCUUGGAUGUCGUCUAAUAGAGGAUGAUGGGGCACAGAAAGGUGGUCCAGUUCCCCCCACCUCGCCAAGGGCGUGUUCUAGGAGUUAAAGAGCAACAACCUGAGAGAGAGAGAGAGAGAGAGAGAGAGAGAGAGAGAGAGAGAGAGAGAGAGAGAGAGAGAGAGAGAGAGAGAGAGAGAGAGAGCCCCUAAUGGCCAGUUAGUGGGCUCUAGGUCAAACUGUCCCCAAAUUUGUUAUUUGUUAUUAUUACUUGUUUUCAUGUCACUUGUCUGUUUUCUACUGCACCCCUCUCACCAAAGCAAAGCAAACAUUAGCAGCACAUUGACCGUAGUCAGGCAUCCUCAUUCCAUAGGUGCUAUAAAACAUUUCCUGUAAAAGAAUCACAGUUUUCAAGACAGGGUGUGUCUCCCCCAACACUCUCACCAGAAUACAGUGUAAUAGCAUCCCCAACUCCUAACCCAUAAACACCGUUUCUUCACACAUCCGCCCAGAAAUCCUGUAAUAGAAAAACAUUAAAACUGUAACCCUGUAGGGAAGAAAAUGUAAAUGGUAACGCUGCGCAGUUACCUCUGUAAGCAACACAAGACACAAAAAUGGCAUUUACAGGUUCACUCAUCCUCGAAUAUUUUGUCAUCCUUCUACUCCUGUAAAAGAAACCCACAUAAAUUCAUCCACCCUUUUAUCCUAUCUAGGUGGAGGUGGUUAACCUUGAGUCAUGGUCAAGUCUUGUCAUCUCUUACCAGUCAGUCCGUUUGUUUUUAUUCCCAGUCUUUCAUCCAUUCAUCCGUUCUUUGCUGAUAGUGAAACCUGUCGUCGCAUCUAGUUUCCACACUCAGCAAAAUGACGUCAUCUCAAAAAGAAACAAGAACUUGAGUUUGGAUUACCUCGCCGAAUCCUUUUUUAAACAGGGACUCUCGUUUCUAAUUGUCCCCACAAGUGUUUCCUCCAGAACCCAUUUCAAUGCGGAGAAACUCACUUACAACAAUUUUCUCGCCGACGUGUAAUGCUUGUAAUUUCCGAUGUGCAGAUCUGCUUAAAGAAAAGAUUCACCAACAAAAAUCAGUAAAUAUAAAACAAAAUAAAAUGAAAAAUAACAAAAACAAAAUGCAGACGCCCGGGUCUUAGGACUUGUCACUGAAUAUUCUUCCCAUCAAUAAAAAUACCAACCUAAACCUACACAGAGUCAAAUCAACACCACCUCAACCUUUUCAUAUUCAUAAACCUAUAUGUUUUGCGUUCGUGAAACAAAAUUGAACCAUUAAGUAAGUUGAGCUCUUGAAAUGUUUUAAUUCUCUUAAUUCUGCCAGUUUAUUUCAACACUUAUUCAAUGACUUUUAUUCAACUGCUACUUGGUCACUCGACUUUUACCUGUUCAAAUUGCCUAGGGUUCAACAAAGUCUAGAUCCCCGUUUUCAUGAAACUUGAACGGUGUACGAUGAUUUACUUACAGUAAUUUAGAAUCAUCACUCAACCUAGCUCUACUACUGGCACUGCGUGACUUUUCUCACACUGGAAACCAGAAUUUAGUACAGAACUUUAAUGCCUCAGGCAAUCGCGUUCAAGAGCUGCCCCCCCUUCUCUUCUUCUUUGUCCGUGUGUUCCUCCUUUAUUAAAUCUCCAUCACAAUGACGUGGCGCUCUGAAAUAAAACUCACACUGUUAAUUCCUCGUUUUCACUCUGCGCCACUGCUCAGAGUGUUUUCUUUUCUUUUUAGUGUAGAGUAAACAAUUAAGUCGAGGCCUUAAGCCCCAGAUAUCUCGCACGGGCAUCAUUUUCAUAACCAAACCGCUCCGGACUCUGCUCCCCAGACCACACAAAUGCCCUCUGGGCUUAUUAUUAUAGCAAAUUCUGUAUUUGACUUUGUUGUGUGCAGCAUUGAGCCUUUGUCAGUAAAGCAUUCUUCAUUGCAGCAGCUAGAGCAUUGUGUGUCACUUCUUAGUAAAUUAAAUCAACAUUUUGAUUUUAGUGCAUGGGUAUGUAUCAGUUUUUACUCCCUCAACAAGUGCAUAAGUGUUCAUGUGUGUGUUUCCCUUCAUUCUAAGUAGGCGCAUGCAGAAGUGUGUGUUCGUGUGUUGGUAUAUGUUUGUGUUCAUCACCUUUCUGUUCUGUAGUUUAGGUAAACCAGCGGCCUGACGCAUGGCCUAGGGUCCUCCCCUCCUCUUUGGGUCUGUUUAUGUUGUCCUUACUUUGCUCCACGGCCUUCUGCAGCUCUGCUGUUCGGCUCUUCUCAGAGGUCAGCAUCCUUCUGCUCACCGUCCCUUUUCCUCCGGGCUUAAUGCGCGUCUCGUCACAGCUCUGUCAGCUGACGCAGCCUGGGAAUUUCCCCCGUGUAGUGAAACGGGCUUUAGGUUUAGUGCUCUCCGUCUCUGCUGCAUGAGAUCACUCUUUUGCAGCACUGUUGACAUCCUCAAGUUGUUGUUGUGAGUCCAGCUGCUGUGGCCUUCAGGGGUCAAAGGGUCAAAGAUGGUCGCGGAGAGGGCAACGAUGGUAGAGGGGAGGGUAGGAGUCCAGGUCAGCUUCGGCUCUCAGAAAAAACAAAAACAAAACAAAACAGGCGAACAGGAAAAUGAUGUUGUGUUGGCUGUGCUGUGUUGGCUGUGUUAUCCCGAGAGGGGAGAAACAACGAGAUCUCGUCCCCCCCUUUUUUUUUUUUUUUUUUUUUUUUUUUUUUUUUCCAUAUAAUCAACUCAUAACCCCUCAAGUUGACAGGACAACACAGGUACGUGUUAAAAUUCUUAAGAUCCUGUUUAGAAACCUAAAAAGGAAUUUCCUAUCAUUCAGUAGUCAUUUGUCUUAAACAAUCAACAAAAACAUGUCCCAAGUCGACCCUUUUAACCACUAAAUUUGUCGUGUCCUCACUUAAUCCUCAGACCAGUGUCUUUGUCUUUUGACGUUACGUUGUUGUCCUGCAACCCAAAGCGUUUAAUUGUCAGUAAUGUAUGAACUAUAUCAUUUAAAAACAGGUGUAUGUUAAGUGUCGCUACUUUAACCUUGCAUGUACGUGCACAUGUAU
ensembl:lncRNA